rnacentral:lncRNA from 1 species
UUCCACCUUGCCUAGGCAGCGCCAAAGCACCUUCUCUGAAAGCUGUUAAGUGAAGGCUGUGACUUCAGCCCCUUAGAUUCAGCUCUUGUCUGGGUGAUGGAGGACAAGGAUCUCGUCAGCUUCUCUGGGUUGGGACAGGCUGCAGCGUGGUCCAGACUCAGUUGAUCUUCCUGUGCUGAGACCCUCUAGCAGAAUCACAACAGAGAGACACGUGACCUCUGGACACUAUGCUGAGCCCCGAGCAUGGAUUGCCUGGAACACUUCAUUACUUGAAACACAGAGCAAGAAGCAGAAGUUACAAAUCAGGUGUUCUCUUUAAGAAGCUGUAUGGAGAGUUUGUCCUUACACUUGAAUAGUUGCUUCAUUACCUCCCUUAUCUCAGAAGGACAUGCACAGUAAGGUUAUGAAGAACUGGCUUCCAAAUAAUAUUAAGAGCAAGUCACCUAGACUGGAACCAGCAGGUCCAUAUGGCAGACCAGGGACAGCGGGAAGAACACCUAAGUGGAACCCUGAAGCUACUUCCCACUCUGUGACUUUAGGGUCCAUAGAAUUAUGGACCUGGAUACUGGAUGGCAGAUGUGAAAUCCCUUCUUCUUAUUCAAUGCUUAUGCAAAUAUGUGCUAUUGUCAUUGCAAACAUGGUAUGUGCCCUGGAGGGGAACAAUGACUCCAUUAAAUUUUCUGGCCCUGGAAUUCCGUAAAGGAAGUAGUCCAUGGCCCUAGCCCAGGUUUUUCAGCCUCCACACUAUUGCCCAGUAGGCCCUGGAGAUGCCCUGUGUGGGGCCCUGUGCCCAGAGCGGCAUCCCUGGGCUCCACCCUGCAGGUGCCCUGGAUAUCAGCAGAAACUCCCACCAAGUCCUGACAAUAGAAAGUGUCUCCAGACAUGCCCAAGUGUCCCUCGGGGGCAAAACCACCAGUUUGGGAGACCCUGCCUAGGAAAGGUUUUUGUCUUGCUUUUUGUAGAGAGGCCACACAGUGAGAGGCUUCUCAGAAAGAAGGCGCAGUUCCCAGUGCUCAUUAACCUACAGAUUCAAUGACCAAUUCACUGCAGAGGGCAUCCAAAGGUUCUCGAACACAGAAGUUAGGAAAUGACCAUGAGAUAACAAACGGGGCUCUAUUUUGUAAAGGGGGUGCAGCCCGAUUUGGGAUUGCUAAUAAAAGACAAGUAAGUC